UACAGAGGUCCCGAGCGUUGUUCGGAUUCACUGGGCGUAAAGGGUGCGCAGGUGGGUUGGCAAGUUUGAUGUGAAAGCCCCGGGCUUAACCCGGGAAUGGCAUUGAAUACUGCUGAUCUGGAGGAUCGGAGGGGGGACUGGAAUUCUUGGUGUAGCAGUGAAAUGCGUAGAUAUCAAGAGGAACACCAGUGGCGAAGGCGAGUCCCUGGGCCUGCACUGACGCUCAUGCACGAAAGCGUGGGGAGCAAACAGG
rnacentral:rRNA from 1 species